UACGUAGGGCGCAAGCGUUAUCCGGAAUUAUUGGGCGUAAAGAGCUCGUAGCGGUCUGUUGCGUCCGCUGUGAAAACUCGGGGGCUUAACCCCGAGCCUGCAGUGGAUACGGGCAGACUAGAGGUAGGUAGGGGAGAAUGGAAUUCCCGGUGUAGCGGUGAAAUGCGCAGAUAUCGGAAGGAACUCAGUGGCGAAAGCGGCUUCCUGGACCAGUACCGACGUUCAGGCACAAA
rnacentral:rRNA from 1 species